GGAGUGUUAGCUCAGCCGGGAGAGCAUCUGCCUUACAAGCAGAGGGUCGGGGGUUCGAUCCCCUCACACUCCACCA
rnacentral:tRNA from 1 species